rnacentral:tRNA from 1 species
GGACCCAUAGCUCAGCCAGGAUAGAGUGUCGGCCUGCGAAGCCGAUGGUCCCGGGUUCGAAUCCCGGUGGGUCCG